AUGAACGCUAGCGACAGGCUUAACACAUGCAAGUCGAGGGGCAGCACAGGUAGCAAUACCGGGUGGCGACCGGCGCACGGGUGAGUAACGCGUAUGCAACUUACCUAUCAGAGGGGGAUAACCCGGCGAAAGUCGGACUAAUACCGCAUGAAGCAGGGGCCCCGCAUGGGGAUAUUUGCUAAAGAUUCAUCGCUGAUAGAUAGGCAUGCGUUCCAUUAGGCAGUUGGCGGGGUAACGGCCCACCAAACCGACGAUGGAUAGGGGUUCUGAGAGGAAGGUCCCCCACAUUGGUACUGAGACACGGACCAAACUCCUACGGGAGGCAGCAGUGAGGAAUAUUGGUCAAUGGCCGAGAGGCUGAACCAGCCAAGUCGCGUGAGGGAUGAAGGUUCUAUGGAUCGUAAACCUCUUUUAUAAGGGAAUAAAGUGCGGGACGUGUCCCGUUUUGUAUGUACCUUAUGAAUAAGGAUCGGCUAACUCCGUGCCAGCAGCCGCGGUAAUACGGAGGAUCCGAGCGUUAUCCGGAUUUAUUGGGUUUAAAGGGUGCGUAGGCGGCCUUUUAAGUCAGCGGUGAAAGUCUGUGGCUCAACCAUAGAAUUGCCGUUGAAACUGGGGGGCUUGAGUAUGUUUGAGGCAGGCGGAAUGCGUGGUGUAGCGGUGAAAUGCAUAGAUAUCACGCAGAACCCCGAUUGCGAAGGCAGCCUGCCAAGCCAUUACUGACGCUGAUGCACGAAAGCGUGGGGAUCAAACAGGAUUAGAUACCCUGGUAGUCCACGCAGUAAACGAUGAUCACUAGCUGUUUGCGAUACACUGUAAGCGGCACAGCGAAAGCGUUAAGUGAUCCACCUGGGGAGUACGCCGGCAACGGUGAAACUCAAAGGAAUUGACGGGGGCCCGCACAAGCGGAGGAACAUGUGGUUUAAUUCGAUGAUGCGCGAGGAACCUUACCCGGGUUUGAACGCAUUCGGACCGAGGUGGAAACACCUUUUCUAGCAAUAGCCGUUUGCGAGGUGCUGCAUGGUUGUCGUCAGCUCGUGCCGUGAGGUGUCGGCUUAAGUGCCAUAACGAGCGCAACCCUUGCCACUAGUUACUAACAGGUAAAGCUGAGGACUCUGGUGGGACUGCCAGCGUAAGCUGCGAGGAAGGCGGGGAUGACGUCAAAUCAGCACGGCCCUUACAUCCGGGGCGACACACGUGUUACAAUGGCGUGGACAAAGGGAAGCCACCUGGCGACAGGGAGCGAAUCCCCAAACCACGUCUCAGUUCGGAUCGGAGUCUGCAACCCGACUCCGUGAAGCUGGAUUCGCUAGUAAUCGCGCAUCAGCCAUGGCGCGGUGAAUACGUUCCCGGGCCUUGUACACACCGCCCGUCAAGCCAUGGGAGCCGGGGGUACCUGAAGUCCGUAACCGCGAGGAUCGGCCUAGGGUAAAACUGGUGACUGGGGCU
rnacentral:rRNA from 1 species